AGAUCCAACAACCUUCUCCGAACCAAUCGCUGCCGACCCUAACCCCAAAGCCCAACCACCAUGCUCCCAUGUUCCUUCAGCCUCGAAGUCGCGCGAUUAGCAACCCCGCGUCGUCUGCCCCGUUACACCAGCAUUUCGUUGCCGCAGCGGUUUCUUGCGCAGCUAACCUCCAACCCGCAUCAUCAAUUCCUCGCCCAACCCAACAAUAUGCUCCGUCCCGCCGACCAGCAUGCCAAGCCAUUCAUAUAUUUAUUUAUUUAUGUUAAACGCAUGGUUUGGAGCAUAUGAGAACAACGAAUAUGGCGGCUUUCAGGGAAGUCCUCUUACCUCUUAAUUCAUUCAUUUGAUUUUAUUGAGGAAAAUGUAUAAAUUAAAUCGAAUCAUAAUUUGGUAUAUUCUAACUGUAUGUGGUGACAUUGGUCUAUUGUGUGUUUAAUCCUUGUGUAUUAAUUGCGUUUUUACAUCCUUGCAUGCUAUUUUCAUUUGGGAAAAUUAAAAAAAUCACUUUGACAA